GACGAACGCUGGCGGCGUGCUUAACACAUGCAAGUCGAACGAUGAAGCGCUGUCUUUUUGGUGGUGUGGAUUAGUGGCGAACGGGUGAGUAAUACGCGGGCAACCUGCCCCUCUGCUUCGGGAUAAGCUUUGGAAACGGGGUCUAAUACCGGAUGUGCCUGUCUGGUCGCAUGGCUGGGCGGGGAAAGAUGUUUUUCGGCGGGGGAUGGGCUCGCGGCCUAUCAGCUUGUUGGUGGGGUGACGGCCUACCAAGGCGUCGAUGGGUAGCCGGCCUGAGAGGGUGAUCGGCCACAAGGGGACUGAGACACGGCCCUUACUCCUACGGGAGGCAGCAGUGGGGAAUAUUGGACAAUGGACCGAGAGUCUGAUCCAGCAAUUCUGUGUGCACGAUGAAGUUUUUCGGAAUGUAAAGUGCUUUCAGUUGGGAAGAAAGAAAUGACGGUACCAACAGAAGAAGUGACGGCUAAAUACGUGCCAGCAGCCGCGGUAAUACGUAUGUCACGAGCGUUAUCCGGAUUUAUUGGGCGUAAAGCGCGUCUAGGUGGUUAUAUAAGUCUGAUGUGAAAAUGCAGGGCUCAACUCUGUAUUGCGUUGGAAACUGUAUAACUAGAGUACUGGAGAGGUAAGCGGAACUACAAGUGUAGAGGUGAAAUUCGUAGAUAUUUGUAGGAAUGCCGAUGGGGAAGCCAGCUUACUGGACAGAUACUGACGCUGAAGCGCGAAAGCGUGGGUAGCAAACAGG
rnacentral:rRNA from 1 species